rnacentral:rRNA from 1 species
GAUGAACGCUGGCGGCGUGCUUAACACAUGCAAGUCGAACGGAAAGGCCCAAGCUUGCUUGGGUACUCGAGUGGCGAACGGGUGAGUAACACGUGGGUGAUCUGCCCUGCACUUAGGGAUAAGCCUGGGAAACUGGGUCUAAUACCGGAUAGGACCUCAUUAUGGAUGGUGUGGUGGAAAGUUUUUCGGUGUGGGUUGAGCUGGCGGCCUAUCAGCUUGUUGGUGGGGUAAUGGCUUACGAAGGCGUCGACGGGUAGCCGGCCUGAGAGGGUGUACGGGCACAUGGGGACUGAGAUACGGCGCAGACUCCUACGGGAGGCAGCAGUGGGGAAUAUUGCACAAUGGGCGCAAGCCUGAUGCAGCGACGCCGCGUGGGGGAUGACGGCCUUCGGGUUGUAAACUCAUUUCGCUAGGGACGAAGCGCAAGUGACGGUACCUGGAGAAGAAGCACCGGCUAACUACGUG